GAAAUGCGAUAAGUAAUGUGAAUUGCAGAAUUCAGUGAAUCAUCGAAUCUUUGAACGCACCUUGCGCUCCUUGGUAUUCCUUGGAGCAUGCCUGUUUGAGUAUCAUGAAAUCUUCAAAGUAAAUCUUUUGUUAACUCAAUUGGUUUCUACUUUGGUAUUGGAGGUCUUUGCAGCUUCACACCUGCUCCUCUUUGUUCAUUAGCUGGAUCUCAGUGUUAUGCUUGGUUCCACUCGGCGUGAUAAGUUAUCUAUCGCUGAGGACACUGUAAAAGGUGGCCAAGGUAAAUGCAGAUGAACCGCUUCUAAAAGUCCAUUGACUUGGACAAUACUUUUAUGAUCUGAUCUCAAAUCAGGAAGGACUACCCGCUGAACUUAAGC
rnacentral:misc_RNA from 1 species